UGGGGAAUUUUGGACAAUGGGCGUAAGCCUGAUCCAGCAAUGCCGCGUGUGUGAAGAGGGCCUUCGGGUUGUAAAGCACUUUUGUCCGGAAAGAAAUCCUUGGCUCUAAUACAGUCGGGGGAUGACGGUACCGGAAGAAUAAGCACCGGCUAACUACGUGCCAGCAGCCGCGGUAAUACGUAGGGUGCAAGCGUUAAUCGGAAUUACUGGGCGUAAAGCGUGCGCAGGCGGUUUGCUAAGACCGAUGUGAAAUCCCCGGGCUCAACCUGGGAACUGCAUUGGUGACUGGCAGGCUAGAGUAUGGCAGAGGGGGGUAGAAUUCCACGUGUAGCAGUGAAAUGCGUAGAGAUGUGGAGGAAUACCGAUGGCGAAGGCAGCCCCCUGGGCAAGUACUGACGCUCAUGCACGAAAGCGUGGGGAGCAAACAGGAUUAGAUACCCUGGUAGUCCACGCCCUAAANGAUGUCAACUAGUUGUUGGGGAUUCAUUUCCUUAGUAACGUAGCUAACGCGUGAAGUUGACCGCCUGGGGAGUACGGUCGCAAGAUUAAAACUCAAAU
rnacentral:rRNA from 1 species